CUACGUGCCAGCAGCCGCGGUAAUACGGAAGGUCCGGGCGUUAUCCGGAUUUAUUGGGUUUAAAGGGAGCGUAGGCCGGGGAUUAAGUGUGUUGUGAAAUGUAGGCGCUCAACGUCUGAUGUGCAGCGCAUACUGGUUCCCUUGAGUACGCGCAACGCCGGCGGAAUUCGUCGUGUAGCGGUGAAAUGCUUAGAUAUGACGAAGAACCCCGAUUGCGAAGGCAGCCGGCGGGAGCGCAACUGACGCUGAAGCUCGAAGGUGCGGGUAUCGAACAGGAUUAGAUACCCUGGUAGUCCGCACGGUAAACGAUGGAUGCCCGCUCUCGGCGCCUGGCGCCGGGGGCCAAGCGAAAGCGUUAAGCAUCCCACCUGGGGAGUACGCCGGCAACGGUGAAACUCAAAGGAAUUGACGGGGGCCCGCACAAGCGGAGGAACAUGUGGUUUAAUUCGACGCAACGCGAAGAACCUUACCAGGUCUUGACAU
rnacentral:rRNA from 1 species